UGGGCAGCCUGAAAGCCAAAUCCACGUAGUUGGUAUAGGCCCUUUUUGCUGAGUUGUACAUGACUGUUCUAUGUGAGACAUAGAAGUUAAGGGGAAGAAAUAUUAAAGACGCGCAAGGAAAAGCUAUCAGAAAUUCACAGGGCCACCUUUGGAAAAAGAAAUCUGUUAGAUUGUUUGGACCUCACAGAAAAAUGAUGAGCAUCUAGGAAUCAAGCUGGGGAGGAACUGCGGCUUCUAGAGAUGCACUGAGUGGUUACGUGCAACCUGUGUGGACUCAUAGAGAAUUUCUCUGAAGGGAAGUUUGAUCAACAAGGUCAUGGGGGACAGAAUGCAAUAAAAGAGGAAGAGAGUUUUCUUCAGGACAUGGGAGGAGAACUUGGAGUGAUUUGCUAUUUAAUGAAAUAACAGUGAAGGAAGCAAAUGUUGCAACACCAAGCAGUAGAAUUUGGUGGAGAGAGAGGGGAGAGGAAAAAAAAAAAAAAACAAACA